GAAAUAUGAAAUUCAAGAAUAAGCUUCUAACUUAACUCUUUAGCAGUGCAACUCUGUUAAUAUUUCU
rnacentral:tRNA from 1 species